AACAGGAUUAGAUACCCUGGUAGUCACGCCGUAAACGAUGUCGACUUGGAGGUUGUUCCCUUGAGGAGUGGCUUCCGGAGCUAACGCGUUAAGUCGACCGCCUGGGGAGUACGGCCGCAGGGUUAAAACUCAAAUGAAUUGACGGGGGCCCGCACAAGCGGUGGAGCAUGUGGUUUAAUUCGAUGCAACGCGAAGAACCUUACCUACUCUUGACAUCCACGGAAUUUGGCAGAGAUGCCUUAGUGCCUUCGGGAACCGUGAGACAGGUGCUGCAUGGCUGUCGUCAGCUCGUGUUGUGAAAUGUUGGGUUAAGUCCCGCAACGAGCGCAACCCUUAUCCUUUGUUGCCAGCGAUUCGGUCGGGAACUCAAAGGAGACUGCCGGUGAUAAACCGGAGGAAGGUGGGGAUGACGUCAAGUCAUCAUGGCCCUUACGAGUAGGGCUACACACGUGCUACAAUGGCGCAUACAAAGAGAAGCGACCUCGCGAGAGCAAGCGGACCUCAUAAAGUGCGUCGUAGUCCGGAUCGGAGUCUGCAACUCGACUCCGUGAAGUCGGAAUCGCUAGUAAUCGUGGAUCAGAAUGCCACGGUGAAUACGUUCCCGGGCCUUGUACACACCGCCCGUCACACCAUGGGAGUGGGUUGCAAAAGAAGUAGGUAGCUUAACCUUCGGGAGGGCGCUUACCACUUUGUGAUUCAUGACUGGGGUGAAGUCGUAACAAGGUAACCGUAGGGGAACCUGCGGCUGGAUCACCUCCUU
rnacentral:rRNA from 1 species